AGCGAAUGCUGGCGGCAAGCUUAACACAUGCAAGUCGAACGAGAAGCCACCUUCGGGUGGUGGACAGUGGCAGACGGGUGAGUAACGCGUGGGAACGUGCCUUUCGGUUCGGGACAACCCAGGGAAACUUGGGCUAAUACCGGAUACGCCCUUCGGGGGAAAGAUUCAUUGCCGAAAGAUCGGCCCGCGUCGGAUUAGCUAGUUGGUAGGGUAAAAGCCUACCAAGGCGACGAUCCGUAGCUGGUCUGAGAGGAUGACCAGCCACACUGGGACUGAGACACGGCCCAGACUCCUACGGGAGGCAGCAGUGGGGAAUAUUGGACAAUGGGCGCAAGCCUGAUCCAGCCAUGCCGCGUGAGUGAUGAAGGCCUUCGGGUUGUAAAGCUCUUUCGCACACGACGAUGAUGACGGUAGUGUGAGAAGAAGCCCCGGCUAACUUCGUGCCAGCCGCCGCCGUAA
rnacentral:rRNA from 1 species